AUAACUUUAGACACAGCGGUUCAAUUUUUGGCCAGAUUUUGACCUGUUGGUGGCGCUAGAUGGCUGGGUUUAGAGAUCCGUAAAUGAGCGUGAGUGGUCAGUGGAGUGUCCCGAAACUUUCUGCC